UACGGGGGGGGCAAGCGUUGUUCGGAAUUACUGGGCGUAAAGGGUGCGUAGGCGGCCAUGUAAGUGAGGUGUGAAAUCCCUCGGCUCAACCGAGGAACUGCGCUUCAUACUGCAUGGCUUGAGGGAGACAGGGGUAAGCGGAACUGAUGGUGGAGCGGUGAAAUGCGUUGAUAUCAUCAGGAACACCGGUGGCGAAAGCGGCUUACUGGGUCUCUUCUGACGCUGAGGUACGAAAGCUAGGGUAGCGAACGGG
rnacentral:rRNA from 1 species